rnacentral:misc_RNA from 1 species
GCAAACUUGGUCAUUUAGAGGAAGUAAAAGUCGUAACAAGGUUUCCGUAGGUGAACCUGCGGAAGGAUCAUCAAAGAAAAAAGGGUUAGGGGGUAUAAUAUCCCCCUAUAUAACCACUCAUGUGUGCAUUGUAUAGGCGUGUGUGUGGUGUGAUACACAUAUUAUGUAUAUAUCGCGCACACGCCUCAUAUAUAUAGACUACUUGAUCUUAUGAUGAAUGUAUGAUGAUGUCAUCAUUAUGAACAUAACACAACUUUUAACAAUGGAUCUCUUGGCUCUCGCAUCGAUGAAGAACGCAGC